CAGAGGGUGCGAGCGUUAAUCGGAAUUACUGGGCGUAAAGGGUGCGUAGGUGGUUUUGUAAGUAACAUGUGAAAGUCCUGGGCUUAACCUGGGGACUGCGUGUUAAACUGCAGAGCUAGAGUGUUGUAGAGGAUAGCGGAAUUUCCGGUGUAGCGGUGAAAUGCGUAGAUAUCGGAAGGAACAUCAGUGGCGAAGGCGGCUAUCUGGACAACAACUGACACUGAGGCACGAAAGCGUGGGGAGCAAACAGGAUUAGAUACCCUGGUAGUCCACGCUGUAAACGAUGAUAACUGGUUGUUGGAUGCGAGAGCAUUUAGUAACGAAGCAAACGCGUUAAGUUAGCCGCCUGGGGAGUACGGCCGCAAGGUUA
rnacentral:rRNA from 1 species